rnacentral:rRNA from 1 species
GAUGAACGCUGGCGGCGUGCCUAAUACAUGCAAGUCGAGCGAACAGACGAGGAGCUUGCUCCUUUGACGUUAGCGGCGGACGGGUGAGUAACACGUGGAUAACCUACCUAUAAGACUGGGAUAACUUCGGGAAACCGGAGCUAAGACCGGAUAAUAUAUUGAACCGCAUUGUUCAAUAGUGAAAGACGGUUUUGCUGUCACUUAUAGAUGGAUCCGCGCCGCAUUAGCUAGUUGGUAAGGUAACGGCUUACCAAGGCAACGAUGCGUAGCCGACCUGAGAGGGUGAUCGGCCACACUGGAACUGAGACACGGUCCAGACUCCUACGGGAGGCAGCAGUAGGGAAUCUUCCGCAAUGGGCGAAAGCCUGACGGAGCAACGCCGCGUGAGUGAUGAAGGUCUUCGGAUCGUAAAACUCUGUUAUUAGGGAAGAACAAAUGUGUAAGUAACUAUGCACGUCUUGACGGUACCUAAUCAGAAAGCCACGGCUAACUACGUG